CAAUAGCGUAUAUUAAAGUUGUUGCGGUUAAAAAGCUCGUAGUUGGAUUUCUGCUGAGGACGACCGGUCCGCCCUUCGGGUGAGUAUCUGGUUUGGCCUUGGCAUCUUCUUGGUGAACGUAUCUGCACUAGACUGUGUGGUGCGGUACCCAGGACUUUUACUUUGAGGAAAUUAGAGUGUUUCAAGCAGGCAUACGCCUUGAAUACAUUAGCAUGGAAUAAUAAGAUAGGACCUCGGUUCUAUUUUGUUGGUUUCUAGAGCUGAGGUAAUGAUUAAUAGGGAUAGUUGGGGGCAUUCGUAUUUAACUGUUAGAGGUGAAAUUCUUGGAUUUGUUAAAGACGGACUACUGCGAAAGCAUUUGCCAAGGAUGUUUUCAUUGA
rnacentral:rRNA from 1 species